UUAGUGCAACAUCUGGAAUCUGAACACUCCAAAGAAAACACUUCUCAUGAAUCUUCUUGUAAAACAGAAUUGGAAAAAUAUAAGCAACUCUACCUAGAAGAAUUAAUAUUGAGAAAGUCGCUGGAAAAAAAAAACUCAACAAAUUUUGCAGACUUCAUCGGAGGCUGGCUGAAACCUGUAUGAAACGUCUGAUGGAGAAGGAGCAGAACAGAUCUUUACUCCAAACAUUUACUACAAGUCCUGUCCUGGAGCCACCUGGUGCUGAAAAUAUUCAUAAUAGCUCCGUGUUCAGAAGAAAUCUUACAACAAGAGAAACCUUAACACUUUCUACCUCAUGUUCAGGCACUUCAUUUGACAGCAUUGUGACUGCUUUGAUGAAGAGUCAGCGGGAGAUGGAAGAAAAUAUGAAUAAAGAACUAGCAGAAGCCACUGCUGAACUUGAUUCUGUGUACCGGAGAGCCUCUCGACUGAGAUCUACCGGUGACCUUUUGAAAACAUCACACAGCCAUAUGUACAGAUUCUGAAGAAAACUUAUGUUUUCUGAAAAAUAAAGAGUGAAACUAUCUA
rnacentral:lncRNA from 9 species